GCAUUGAUGGUUCCGUGGUAGAAUUCUCACCUUCCAUGCCUGAGACCAAGGUUCAAUUCCUGGCCAGUGCU
rnacentral:tRNA from 1 species